rnacentral:tRNA from 1 species
GCGGACGUAGCCGAAUUGGUAUAGGCGCAUGGCUUAGGACCAUGUGGGAGUUAUCCCGUGUGGGUUCGAGUCCCACCGUCCGCA